CCUACGGUAGACAGCAGUGAGGAAUAUUGGUCAAUGGACGCAAGUCUGAACCAGCCAUGCCGCGUGCAGGAAGACGGCUCUAUGAGUUGUAAACUGCUUUUGUACGAGGGUAAACGCAGAUACGCGUAUCUGUCUGAAAGUAUCGUACGAAUAAGGAUCGGCUAACUCCGUGCCAGCAGCCGCGGUAAUACGGAGGAUUCAAGCGUUAUCCGGAUUUAUUGGGUUUAAAGGGUGCGUAGGCGGUCGGAUAAGUUAGAGGUGAAAUCCCGAGGCUCAACUUCGGAAUUGCCUCUGAUACUGUUCGGCUAGAGAGUAGUUGCGGUAGGCGGAAGGUAUGGUGUAGCGGUGAAAUGCUUAGAGAUCAUACAGAACACCGAUUGCGAAGGCAGCUUACCAAGCUACUUCUGACGUUGAGGCACGAAAGCGUGGGGAGCAAACAGGAUUAGAUACCCCGGUAGUC
rnacentral:rRNA from 1 species